UGGGGAAUAUUCCGCAAUGGACGAAAGUCUGACGGAGCAACGCCGCGUGAGUGAUGAAGGUUUUCGGACUGUAAAGCUCCGUUGUUUAGGACGAAAGUGCAUGUUGCGAACAGUUACAGGUAUUGACGGUACUAAACGAGGAAGCCACGGCUAACUACGUGCCAGCAGCCGCGGUAAUACGUAGGUGGCAAGCGUUGUCCGGAAUUAUUGGGCGUAAAGAGCAUGUAGGCGGAGAUUUAAGUCUGUUGUGAAAAUGCGGGGCUCAACCCCGUAUUGCGAUGGAAACUGAAUUUCUUGAGUGCAGGAGAGGAAAGGGGAAUUCCCAGUGUAGCGGUGAAAUGCGUAGAUAUCGGGAGGAACACCAGUGGCGAAGGCGCCUUUCUGGACUGUGUCUGACGCUGAGAUGCGAAAGCCAGGGUAGCGAACGG
rnacentral:rRNA from 1 species